ensembl:lncRNA
UCUUUACCCAGUGCUCUGGAAGGGAAGGGAAGGACCUCUGUGAGCAGCCCUCAAUGGGAGCCCCAGAGGUACUGGCUGGGAGGCAGGACCACACCCUCAAUUCACUCAUUAGAGUCUGUGCCUUGGUCCUUUGCUCUUGGUGGAGUGGGCCCCUGGGGCAGCUACCCUGGCUUGAAGAAAACCUCCAUUCCCCUUGUGCUAAGUUGCUUCAGUGUGUCUGACUCUUUGCGACCUCAUAGACUGUAGCCUGCCAGGCUCCUUUGUCCAUGGGAUUCUCCAGAGGACUUGUUGGGAAAAGCAAAGAAAUACUUGGCCUCGUCCCCAGGACUGCGGAUAUGAUUAACUUCUGAUAAGAGUUUGAUGGACCGCACCUCCUUCCCGGUGCCCCAGGUGUCCUGAGCGUGGCUUCAUGAUGUCCCCACCACAGCCCAGCAAACUCAGGACAAAGCUCCCUGGG